GUGUCAGCGCCGCGGUAAUACGGAGGAUGCAAGCGUUAUCCGGAUUUAUUGGGUUUAAAGGGUGCGUAGGCGGAAAAAUAAGUCAGUGGUGAAAACCUGCAGCUUAACUGUAGAAUUGCCAUUGAUACUGUUAUUCUUGAGUAUGGUCAAGGUAGGCGGAAUGUGUAAUGUAGCGGUGAAAUGCUUAGAUAUUACACAGAACACCGAUUGCGAAGGCAGCUUGCUGGGCCAUUACUGACGCGGAUGCACGAAAGCGUGGGGAUCGAACAGGAUUAGAGACCCUGGUAGUCCACGCCGUAAACGAUGAUCACACGCUGUUAGCGAUACACAGUUAGCGGCUAAGCAAAAGCAUUAAGUGAUCCACCUGGGGAGUACGGCCGCAAGGCUGAAACUUAAAGGAAUUGACGGGG
rnacentral:rRNA from 1 species